AUUAGAUACCCUGGUAGUCCGCACGGUAAACGAUGGAUGCCCGCCGUUGGGUAUUUUUAUUCAGCGGCCAAGCGAAAGCGUUAAGCAUCCCACCUGGGGAGUACGCCGGCAACGGUGAAACUCAAAGGAAUUGACGGGGGCCCGCACAAGCGGAGGAACAUGUGGUUUAAUUCGAUGAUACGCGAGGAACCUUACCCGGGCUUGAAUUGCAGAUGACGGAUCCAGAGAUGGUGACUUCCUUCGGGACAUCUGUGAAGGUGCUGCAUGGUUGUCGUCAGCUCGUGCCGUGAGGUGUCGGCUUAAGUGCCAUAACGAGCGCAACCCCUUUCGUCAGUUGCCAUCGGGUAAUGCCGGGCACUCUGGCGACACUGCCGCCGCAAGGUGUGAGGAAGGUGGGGAUGACGUCAAAUCAGCACGGCCCUUACGUCCGGGGCUACACACGUGUUACAAUGGGGCAUACAGAGAGUUGGUCAUGCGCAAGCAUGAUCGGAUCAUGAAAGUGUCCCUCAGUUCGGACUGGGGUCUGCAACCCGACCCCACGAAGCUGGAUUCGCUAGUAAUCGCGCAUCAGCCAUGGCGCGGUGAAUACGUUCCCGGGCCUUGUACACACCGCCCGUCAAGCCAUGAAAGCCGGGGGCGCCUGAAGUCCGUGACCGCGAGAGUGCGGCCUAGGGUGAAACCGGUGAUUGGGGCUAAGUCGUAACAAGGUACC
rnacentral:rRNA from 1 species